rnacentral:misc_RNA from 1 species
CUCAAUGCCUUUCAGUCCAGACAACAAAUCAGCUUGAGACCACAUAUCCUUCAUGGUGUUAUAUUCCACUCUCAACUCUUCUAAACUUGGGAUCGCAACCUUCCCGCCAGAAGAGGCUGCAAUGGAAAAAACAAAGUCCCCAUUGUGAAUUCCUGCUUCAUUUCCCUCAGCAAUCAUGCUUAGAUCUUGUUCCUCACAAAAUUUUGAAGCUAAUAAUUCCAUGUUUGGACAGCCAACCAUAUCAAUUCUUUUCAGGGAUGGGCAUUUCAGAAAAUCCCUUGCAGAAUAAAAACUUGACAAGUUAGGCAAACACUCGAGACUUAUGGACUUCAUUGAUGGAAACAUGAUCUUAUCUUUCGCUAUUUCCUCUUCUGCUUCUUUUGUGAUGAUAUGUUCCACCAAACAACAUCUUUUUAAUUCCAUAUGUUGGAGAUUUACGAGACCCGAAGCCAUGGACAGAGUA